GGGUUCGCUCCCGCUGAUCCCUCAUGCCCGUCCUAGAAGACGACGGAUAAAGAAGGAAGGGGCUGGACGCUGAUGCCUCAUGAUUCUAGUAUGUAUGUAUGUAAUUCAUUCUUAUCCCCAAGUACUGCUAUUCAUAGUAAGAGAUGGAUGAAAAUAUAAACACAGGCUAACAUAGUAAAUGAAAACCUGGAUGUACUAUUAUUCUAAAGUUCUGUAAUACUUGUUGCCUAUUCUCUUUUAAAUCAAUCUUUCCCUUUUGUCAUUAAAGAAAAUGUUAGCUCAAUCUUUCACUAUUCAGUGGUAUGUUGCAGAAUAACAUUUGUGUUUCAAGUGCCAUAAUUCGUUUCAUUAUUUUGAAACUCACCAAAUUUCUUUUACUACAAGCUGCAAGAGGUUAGGGGAGAGGCAUGCGGUGGUGGUGCACAAGCACAAGCACAUGUUGCAGAUGAUAGUGUUUUUAGAGACAAAGGUGACUGCUGAUGGGACGUCUCACAGAUGAUGCUAUCAAUGGGUUAUGGUGAUGCACUUUUUUUUGGAAGUCGUAUGCUCUAAACUGGAGUGAUUCUAAAGAAGCAAGCAACUACUCCCUCCGUUCCUAAAUAAUUUUCUUUCUAGACAUUUCAAAUGGCUACCACAUACAGAUAUAUGUAGACAUAUUUUAAAGUGUAGAUUCACUCAUUUUGCUCUGUAUGUAGUCAUUUGUUUAAAUAUCUAGAAAGACAAAUAUUUAGGAACGGAGGGAGUAGAACAAUUUCCAUUAUGUAAUGCUAAAAGUUUACUUCUGGGCCAUAGUUUACUUCAGUUCAGUUGAUCUC